rnacentral:rRNA from 1 species
GACUCUCGGCAACGGAUAUCUCGGCUCAUGCAUCGAUGAAGAACGUAGCAAAAUGCGAUACUUGGUGUGAAUUGCAGAAUCCCGUGAACCAUCGAGUUUUUGAACGCAAGUUGCGCCCGAAGCCAUUCGGCCGAGGGCACGUCUGCCUGGGCGUCACGC